UACGGAGGGUGCAAGCGUUGUUCGGAAUCAUUGGGCGUAAAGGGCGCGUAGGCGGCCUUCUAAGUCGAACGUGAAAUCCCCGGGCUCAACCCGGGAACUGCGUCCGAUACUGGAAGGCUUGAAUCCGGGAGAGGGAUGCGGAAUUCCAGGUGUAGCGGUGAAAUGCGUAGAUAUCUGGAGGAACACCGGUGGCGAAGGCGGCAUCCUGGACCGGCAUUGACGCUGAGGCGCGAAAGCCAGGGGAGCAAACGGG
rnacentral:rRNA from 1 species